rnacentral:rRNA from 1 species
AGCGAACGCUGGCGGCAGGCUUAACACAUGCAAGUCGAGCGGACGUAGCAAUACGUUAGCGGCAGACGGGUGAGUAACACGUGGGAACGUGCCCUUUGGUUCGGGAUAACCCAGGGAAACCUGGGCUAAUACCGGAUAAGCCCUUACGGGGAAAGAUUUAUCGCCAAAGGAUCGGCCCGCGUCUGAUUAGCUAGUUGGUGGGUAACGGCCCGACCAAGGCUACGAUCAGUAGCUGGUCUGAGAGGAUGAUCAGCCACACUGGGACUGAGACACGGCCCAGACUCUACGGGAGGCAGCAGUGGGAAUAUUGGACAAUGGGGAAACCCGUGAUCCAGCCAUNCCGCGUGAUGAUGAAGGCCUUAGGGUUGUAAAGCUCUUUCGGCGGGAAGAUAAUGACGGUACCCGC